rnacentral:rRNA from 1 species
UACGAAGGGGGCUAGCGUUGCUCGGAAUUACUGGGCGUAAAGGGUGCGUAGGCGGUUCCAUAAGUCAGUGGUGAAAUACGGCAGCUUAACUGUCGAGGUGCCAUUGAUACUGCGGAACUUGAGUACUGAUGAGGUAGGCGGAAUUGACGGUGUAGCGGUGAAAUGCUUAGAUAUCGUCAAGAACACCGAUAGCGAAGGCAGCUUACCAAGCAGUAACUGACGCUGAGGCACGAAAGUGCGGGGAUCAAACAGG